UUUUAACGGCUGCGGUAUUUUGACUGUGCUAAGGUAGCAUAAUCAUUUGUUAUUUAAUUGAUAGCUGGAAUGAAAGGUUAAACUAGCUUAUUAGGUUUGUAAAAUUAUACAAGAAAUUAAAGUUAAGGUAAGAAUUCUUUAAUUUUCUAGGGGACGAUAAGACCCUAGAAGCUUGACGAGUUGGGAUUUCGGUUUGUUUUAGAAAUUUAUUCGUUUUACUGGGGCGGUAAAAAUAAGUAAGCUAUUUGUAUAUUUAAAGGAUCCUUAAAAUAAAGAAAAAAUGGAAAAGUUACUCUAGGGAUAA
rnacentral:rRNA from 2 species